rnacentral:rRNA from 1 species
UAAUGCAAAGGAGCGUUAGGUUCUAGUUGACGAAGAAGGGCGAUAAAGAAAUCGAAAAUUAUUAGAAUAUUAAUAAUGAUAAUAAAUACCCUAAUUUAAAUAAAGAUAACUCCUUGGAUUUAAGCAUAUGAGUAAAGGAAGGAAAAGAAACUAACAAGGAUUUCUUUAGUAGCGGCGAGUGAACAAGAAAAAGCUCAAAGUAUAAUUCUAAUAUAAAAUUUUAUAUAUAGAAAUUGUCAAAAAAGAAAUUUUAUAUUUUUUUUAAAAAAAAUAAU